GAAGGAUCAUAGUAAUCGUCUUUGACGUUCUGUUCCGUCGUCCUCGGGACGUUAAGGCGCUCUGGUCGAGGAUAAACGACCCCUCUGACCGAGGUAAAGCGGUUGCUGUGUUACCUCUUGUCGAGGCACACGUUAAAGAUCGUUCCGCGUUGUGAGUCUAACCAUUUGUAAACUUUUACAACCGGCAGCGCUGGAUCCCUUGGCACGUCAUUCGAUGAAGACCGUUGCAAAUUGCGAUAAAGUGAUGUGAUGCGCAAGUCCACCACUUAUACGUGAAUCAUCGAGUUGUUGAACGCAUUGCACCGCGCCCUAAUCCGGCUGCGGUAUGCCCCUUUGAGCGUCAUUUAUUCCUUCGGGAGUCUUUCCUUGCGAAAGACCCGAGUUCGGAGUCCUCGGUCUUUGGAUCGUGUUCUCUUAGAUGCGUCGCGCCGAUCGCCUGAUGGGUACUCUAAUGCCUGAGCGUGGAGUCCCUCUGGAGUUGAGACGUGCUUGACCGGCCGUUGGGCUCGUGUCACCAAGUCCGCGUCCUUUGGGACGGCGGUACUACAACGCAUGACCUCAUUGGGGUAGGACAACCCGCUAGACUUAAGCAUAUUAAUCAGCGGAGGAAAAGAAACUAACCAGGAUUCCCCUAGUAACUGCGAGUGAAGAGGGAUCGGCUCAAUGUGUGAAUCUGGCGUGGGGUAAACCCGUGUCCGAGUUGUGCACUAUGGACGCUUUGUCUGCGUAUGUAACGGCGGUGGAAGUCCGUUGAAAC
rnacentral:rRNA from 1 species